ensembl:snoRNA LOC120098674 small nucleolar RNA SNORA72
AGGAGGAGGAGCCAGGCUAGACAUUCACUAUAGUAAGACCAUGCAUGUGUCACCAGAACUAGUUCUUUACCUGGGUCUGGUUUUCUGAAUGCUGGUGACCAGC